rnacentral:rRNA from 1 species
AUUGAACGCUGGCGGCAAGCCUAACACAUGCAAGUCGAACGAGUGGCGGACGGGUGAGUAAUGUCUGGGAAACUGCCUGAUGGAUGGGGAUAACUACUGGAAACGGUAGCUAAUACCGCAUACCAUCGGAUGUUCCCAGAUGGGAUUAGCUAGUAGGUGGGGUAAAGGCUCACCUAGGCGACGCGCCCUAGCUGGCCUGAGAGGAUGACCAGCCACACGGGAACGUAGACACGGUCCAGACUCCUACGGUAGGCAGCAGGGGGGAAUAUUGCACAAUGGGAGCAAGCCUGAUGCAGCCAUGCCGCGUGGAUGAAGAAGGCCUUCGGGUUGUAAAGUACUUUCAGCGGGGAGGCGUUACCCGCAGAAGAAGCACCGGCUAACUCCGUGCCAGCCGCCGCGGUAAUAC